GUGCUGGUAGCAUGCCCACACACAAAACUGUAGAAUAGAACAGCGACGUCACCAAAGAAACUUGACCUAGUAAAACAUAGUUCCCGCUAAAAUUGUCCCCACCCAACAGAGAGGACACAGGAUCAAUACAGAGAGAAAUUAUGCCAUAUCUCAGGGCAAUAAGAGGAAGAGAACCAAGGUUCCUAAACUAAAUUAAAUUGAUCCACUUGAUCUUCUCUAAUAGCAGAUAAUUUUCCGUUCAACAUGCUGGAGUUAACCCUCUCCACUACUCUUGCAAAAUGUAGGUCUGAUUUCCGCCAUUGAGAAGCAAUAUGAAUUCGUGUGGCAAGCAGGAUAUACUGAAAGAAGUUAAUCUCCACUUUUGGUUACCAGUGCCUUCUUGAGAGGAACUUAUUCACACAUCACUUGCUAUCCUACUCCACCGGUCCGACUGACGUCACACCGGGAAGUUCCUCGUGGCAGCGGUUCCAUCUGAAUAUCUACAUCCAGACGCUACUGUAGGUGUUGUGCUCUGAGCGCAACACCUAGGGGUAAGAACCCAUCUUUGUCUCAUCUCGUCACUCAUGAUAAACACCACAUAUUUCCAUAACUAAAUUAUCAUAUCACAUCACAACCCCAUCUCCCUUUCCUAAUUCAUUUUCACACAUGCACAAUUUCUGACAGGACGAUUAGUACUUCCCAAAUUCACAAAAUCACUUCACCAACAAUUUUCUAUAUUCACUAAUUACAAAUAUAUUCAUAUUCAUGAAUGUUUUUCUAUUCUAUUUUCUAUUGCCAUUUCAUCAUUGUACAUUCAUACUUUAUUUUAUUUUAUUGCACUUCAUUCUAUUUCACUCUAUUUUAUAUUAUUUUACUCCACUUUAUUUGAUUUCCCUUUAUUUCAUUUCAUUACUUUAUUCUAUUUUAUUUCAUUUCAUUUUACCUCACGCCAUUUUCCAUUUUCAUUUUAUUUAAUUCUUUUUAGCCGACUUCAAUUAAUUAUUUAUGUCUCAUUUAUUUUAUAUGAUAUGUACUAUAUUAUACACUAUUUAUAUUCUGAAGUGUGUACACUAAAUCCCAAUUUUUUACUGCUAAGUGGAUGUGACGUCCUCCUAAAAGGGAAGAGAUACAUGUAUAAAUAUUCCACCAAAAAGACCAUUUGGGAUAAAUCUUAAGCUGCUGAGGAAAAGUCCUAUGGAGGACUUGAAACACGUCCAGCUAUAACCUCCAGACGGCACACUGUCCAGCCUUAUCCAGGAUCCAGCUAUUUGUUCCCAUUGCUGCAUUCUCUUAACACAAAUAAUUCUGUGCACAUUGCCACGGCCACGAGGACACUGACGGCCCUCUGGCUGAAUUAGUGAAAUCGCAUCAGCGCUUUUAAAAGACCGGACUCACCAUUAUUAUUACCACCGCUGUACAUUUUGAGACGGCCAAGUCUCUAACAGCCACCUCUUUCUUCAUACGAGUCGGGACUGUCAUUUGCAAAGAUAUUGAAUAAAGAAGAAAGUAUACCGCUGGCACUGCUCUCCUAUAUCUCCUCCCAAUAAGCUUAUGGAUUGAAGCUGUAGGAACGUCCGGACCUCUGGUCUUGAUCUCAGGUGCUCUCCGUAUGAACAGGAUAGACUCCGCAGCAUACAACAUACAAGGAAAGACAGCACGGAGGCACUCUGUACGAUCUAUUCGGCUUUAUUCCAACACAGAGAAAACUUUUGGUUUUUCCCCCGGAAAUCUCAAAGAAAACCCAAGGGCCCGGGUAGAGGAAGUGACUUCACACCAAGAUGGCUGCACACGCGGACGCCACCGGAGUGAACCAUCCCUAGAAACAAAGGAGCGACACUGAGAAGCAUGCACAGAAGAGGAAAGAAUCCUCAAGCAAUGCUUUUGCGGCAGAGCCAUGCUGAACUACAAUAGACAAGAAGAAAUAUAGUAACACGUACUAGAGCACUGGACAAGAAUCUAAGAAACAAAAAAGGGUUGGCAAUAAAAGUGGCAAAAGGGCUCAGGACAAAAAACCUGCAGGAUCACGACAAGUCCACCAGUCCAGAGGACAGAAUAAAACACAGGGGACCGAGGGUUAUGUCCAUUUUUAUUGGAGAAGUGGGAGGGCCUUAAACUUUAUUAAGGGUUAAGUAUCAAUAACAUUUUCACAGGUCAUACCAAUCCACGAGGGCGGAAUACCCUAUCAGUGCUGCUUCAGCUAUCUGACAAUCCAAGUCUGGAUUGACACUUUAACCCCUUAAGGACUCCACCUGUUUGCACCUUAAUGACCGGGCCCAAUUUUUUGAAUCUGGCAUGUGUCUCUUUAAGUUGUAAUAACUUUCACAUGCUUUUACUGGGCUUGUUUUGACACCUUGUACUUUACAUUAGAGGAAAACCUUUGUUUAUAUUGUUUAUACAUGCAGCAUUUUUUUG